UACGUAGGGGGCAAGCGUUGUCCGGAUUUAUUGGGCGUAAAGAGCGUGUAGGCGGUUAGGUAGGUCCGUUGUGAAAACUCGAGGCUCAACCUCGAGACGCCGAUGGAAACCCCCUAACUAGAGUCCGGGAGAGGAGAGUGGAAUUCCUGGUGUAGCGGUGAAAUGCGCAGAUAUCAGGAAGAACACCCGUGGCGAAAGCGGCUCUCUGGAACGGUACUGACGCUGAGACGCGAAAGCGUGGGGAGCGAACAGG
rnacentral:rRNA from 1 species